CGUCAUGUACGGUGUUAAAUACAAGCUUUCCGCAGCCUUUUAUUAUUUAGUUACAAAUAGUAAUUGCAUAUCUAGAGUCAAAUGCAUGAAACGAAAGAUAAAAGACAGCUAAAAUGUUAUUUUCCAAUGACCCAGCCAAACCAGUAGCAGCACGUGUCUUUGCGCCACAUCUGAGCUCCUGUGACAUUAAUGUUUGGUGCUAUUUUUUAACCUUGCUAUCUCAUCAUUUGUUCUUUCCUGGCCGCAUAUCCUGAGGUCAAACAUUCAGGAAUCCCCUUCCUCUGUCCUUUGCACGCUGCUGACUAUCUAAUAAUCAUUUAACCCAUCCUGAUGUAGCUAAAUCUGUGUGGGAAACGUAUGUCUACAUCUCUUUAUCUUGUAUUAAAUCAAAACAAAAUAUAAUACCAGUUACAAGUGAUAAAGGUUAGCACAACAAAGUCUUCCCAAAAACCUGUCAGUCAGCGAGGUUAUUUAUAUAAGGUCACAGCAGAAAAUGUGUUCAGACAGACUCCAGCACAAACACAUUAUGGUGUGGUGGCCUGAGAAGAGGUCAAACACUAUUUCUGACUGAGCAUUGUUUACUUUGGUUUGGACUGAGGAGCUGAGAGGAAGCAAAGCUCCAAACUAUCAUGUAGUGUGAUAUUUUCGUUAUCAACUUAGAGAUAACCACAAUGGCCCUUCCUUCCCACACGGUUUGUCCCUUUCCGCAGAGACAGCAUCCAGGUCAGAGCAUUCCUUCAGCAUCACCGCCAUUGUCUAAGAUAAGUGUGACAGAAUGACUGAGCUGGCUUCUGUACACAGAUGUCAGCUGGCCAAUUCAUCAGCUGCCUCCUAACAGGGCCAGACCUCCAAAGCGAGAGUCCGUCGCAGAAUAGAAGCACUUUUCCCCAGAUACUUCACCAGUAAUACUUGUUUCAUAAACCGUCCGACCACACUACUCCUCUUCCACGAUGAAGAAAUCAAAGUCAUAACCCUUCAGUGGAAUUUAUGCGGGGAGUCAAGCCACAUUUGAUUUAUACACAGAAGAUGAAAAGGUCAGAUUACACAAGGGAGCGAGUCGGUGUUAUUUCCUCAUUGUAAUGACACACGCCGAACCGCAGAGGGAAAGAAAUGUUUUUAAUACUUAGAAUUUCAGCGUAGCUGCAACAAUUGCUGGCACAACGGAUGGUCUUUUUGUGGUUCGCCUAGGACAAAGCUUCACAGAAUGAAAAUAGCCAGAUUUGAAUGUAAUCACAUUUCAUUGUUUUCAUACUUAAGUCCACACACAGACUCUGGUGAGGGAGAUCACAGAGGCUACCGUUAGGAUUUAUGGCAUCUUACAUAGUGUCUUUGCUCUUGAUUGUGUUCAUUAAAUGUCUCUGCUUUGAUUCUGUGGCUGCUACUGAAAAAAAGUCUGGACUUAAUGAUGCACAACAUCAAACAAGCCAAUCUGGGUAGUUUAGACACUAUUUUCAGCUCACAGAGCACAUUCUGAAACUCUCUGUGCUCCCCUUAAAUAAAUAUACUGUAUCAAAGCUCAGUCUUGGCUCAGUUAUUCUCUCACUGAUGAAGAAAUUCUUUCAGUAGCUGAUGAAAGGUUAACAGUAACCUCCAAACAGCCAAAGAGUUUGAAACUGUAUGACAAAAGUAUCUGCAGCUAUCUAUCACAUACCUGUAAUCAAGCCAGAAAACAGUCUCCAAGUACUAAAACAUAAUGGAACUUCAAGCUCCCCCCCAAAACAGCAGAGGUGCAGGCGAUUACUUUCCACUCGGUAAACAGAAACACUGUCCAAACCGAGAUCUGUGUUCGCAGUGUCUGUGAAAGCAUUCACGAAGCUCCACAGGAUGAAGGUUCCUCUUGACAUGAAGAUCUUGGGUUUCAAGCUGUGCGGACCGUUAGUGCUGCUUCCUCCCUUGUCAAGGCCUGCCAGAGUAUCUGACUGAGAGGAAAACUGUUGCAUUUGGACACAAGACAGGCAUGUGGUUGCCAUCAGGACAGAGGCAUGGAGCACCAGGCCAGCAGUCCAAGCAAAGCACCCCAGAUGUCCCUCUCCCAAGCAACGCCUUCCAGCUCUUCCUGGAGGACCCCAAGGUGUUUCCAGGCCAGGCAAAGAACCAUGGCCUCAGAUUUGGAGGUGCUGACUCCUGCCUGCUUUUAACACACUAUUAGUGCCAUGUUACUUUGAAUUAAUAAAGAGAACUUUAUUUCAAUCACAUGCAUCCAUGGUGAACAAGAAUCCAAAAACAGAAAAUAUCGCUGAUAAAUUGAAGUCAAUGGGGACCAUUAUGAACAACGGCAAAAACUGAAUCAAAACAUCUGUUUUCAAACUCUCAAACAACUCGUACAGUAUAAUCCAGGUCUCAUUUAUUCAGUCGCUUGCUUAGUGCUUCCCAAACAUGUUGCUUUACCUUGCCUUAAGCCCUUUCUGACUUAAAGUGAAACCUUUCAGUGCUUUCACUUCUAGUUUGCCACUUCUGGAUUCUUUAUUCACCAGAGGCAUGCAAGAAAAACAAAGUUUUCUUCACAAACUCAACGGUAACACGGCAUGACUAAUUGAUAUAUACAUGAUCAUUUUGUGGGCAAAGUAUUCCCUUAAACAAAAUAAAUGGCAACCACUUCUGUGCAUGCUCAAGCGCAUUUUUGUGUGUGUUUUAGUUUCUGUUGCCCCUCUUUAUAUGUGUGUGCAUGUGUGUAGCCCAGAUAGGACUGUAAGCUUAGGCAAACCCACUGGACUUAGCAUGUCAAACAUCUGCCCGAGCCUAAACAGGGGGGUGUCUGGACCAGUGAAGCUCCUAAAAGAGAGCAAUAAGCCCUGAGCUCUGUAAGGCAUCAGUGGUUGACGGGAGCUUUGCUAAACACAGUUCCUGAGACAAGUCAUUCAUCAAACUCCCUUUUUCGCUAUUACUCUAAAAUAGUAUCCUGGUUACUUAAUGUGAGUGAGAUUAGAGCUGCGGUGAGCAGAACAUAAGUUCUUGUCAUUUAUUUCUUGUAUUGGCGUUGUCAGAUUCAUAACGUCACCAUUCAUAUUUGAACAAUACAUUUAUGAACAGGGAAGUGCACUGAGUAAAUCUUUUGCUAUCUAUAAACUCUCUGAUGACCGUGGGACUGUAUAUUUACAAGGGUUUGAAAAAGGCAUGAAUAAAGCCCAACUGCUGCAUGAUGGAAGCCAGUGCCAUGAGCAAAUACCUUUUGUUUUAAGACACUUGGUUCAAAAGAUAAGGAAUCCCCUUAACUGAGCAGUGUUUUAAGGGGAUUUAGUGGCCUCUAGUGGCGAGGAUUGCAUAUUGCAACCAGCUGAAACUUCUGGUUAGGAUUCCUUCAAUGUUCAUUGUUCAAGAGGUUUUUACUGAGAGCUGAAUUAAUCAUAGAGGUUUUUACUCUCCAAAACAAACAGACCCAGUGAUUU